AGAGUUAGAUUCACUGAUUUUGGAUCUCAUUUGAGUGUUGUUGUUCAUUUUCACUUGCAUUUUCUUCAAGCAAGAAAUAUUGUUAUCUCUUAUAGGACUAUAGAAUGCUGAAAAAAAAGGAUAACAUUAGGCGGUUAAAAAUAUACGACAAGAAAUCUGUUUUUUGUCAGACGUAAGACAGAUACAAUGAUAACUGAAGUUGAUAUGUUGAAGGAGCAAAUUGCUUUCUUGAUGCAAAUGCAAAAUUCUAGAAACAAACAGGCAAUGGACAUAAAAUCGCCAAUAGAUGGUAGACAUUCAUCUGAGUCCAGCCACCAACUUGAUGAUCGUGGAACAACAUCAUUAGGGACUAAUUAGAUAUUUGGAUGAACUUCUAAGUUUGAUGGAGUUGUUUUUUUGUAUUGUUAGUUACUCCACUAAUUAAUGUUUUGAAUAUUUAAACUAUUUUAUUUAUUGUAAUAGUUAACUUUAAUGUAUGAAUUGGUGUUAUUUCUUUUGAAAAAA